rnacentral:rRNA from 1 species
UACGUAGGGGGCUAGCGUUGUCCGGAAUCAUUGGGCGUAAAGAGCGUGUAGGCGGUCCGGUAAGUCCGCUGUGAAAGUCGGGGGCUCAACCUCGAAUGCCGGUGGAUACUGUCGGGCUAGAGUGCGGAAGAGGCGAGUGGAAUUCCUGGUGUAGCGGUGAAAUGCGCAGAUAUCAGGAGGAACACCAAUUGCGAAGGCAGCUCGCUGGGACGUUACUGACGCUGGAGACGCGAAAGCGUGGGGAGCAAACAGG